UCAAAGAUUAAGCCAUGCAUGUCUCAGUACAAGCCAAAUUAAGGUGAAACCGCGAAAGGCUCAUUAUAUCAGUUAUGGUUCCUUAGAUCGUACCAACAGUUUACUUGGAUAACUGUGGUAAUUCUAGAGCUAAUACAUGCAAACAGAGUUCCGACCAGAGAUGGGAGGAAUGCUUUUAUUAGAUCAAAACCAAUCGAUAUGCCAAAAUUGUCAAUCAAAUUAUUAUAAACGCAUUCUCUUUAAUCGGAGUAAUGUUAGUUUAUUUAUAAUUUGUUAAAAUUGUGAUUUUGUGUUUAUAUCGUUAAAUUUAUAAAUGGUGACUCUGAAUAACUUUAAGCUGAUCGUACGGCCUUAGUGCCGACGACGCAUCUUUCAAAUGUCUGCCUUAUCAACUGUCGAUGGUAGGUUCUGCGCCUACCAUGGUUGUAACGGGUAACGGGGAAUCAGGGUUCGAUUCCGGAGAGGGAGCCUGAGAAACGGCUACCACAUCCAAGGAAGGCAGCAGGCGCGCAAAUUACCCACUCCCGGCACGGGGAGGUAGUGACGAAAAAUAACGAUACGGGACUCAUCCGAGGCCCCGUAAUCGGAAUGAGUACACUUUAAAUCCUUUAACGAGGAUCCAUUGGAGGGCAAGUCUGGUGCCAGCAGCCGCGGUAAUUCCAGCUCCAAUAGCGUAUAUUAAAGUUGUUGCGGUUAAAAAGCUCGUAGUCGAAUUUGUGUUCCACACUGUUGGUUCACCGCUCGCGGUGUUUAACUGGCAUGUUAUGUGGAACGUCCUACCGGUGGAUGGUGUUUGAGAUUAUUGUUCUUCACCGCACGUGCUAUUUGAGCAUAUGUGGCUAUAUUAUAUUUGUGUGUAAUUUUAUAUAUACUGUGUGUCUAUAUAUGUUGUUUAUAUUCUAUGGGAAUAAUGUGUUUCCAUUAAAAAAAAUAUAUAUAUACAUUACAUUUAUGUUUUGUACGAUGUAGAUGGCUUUAUUGUGAUCUCUCAUACAUACUAUUUGUUUAUGUUUUAUAUAUAUUUUGGUUGCACACCUAUUUUAUAUAUUCACAUUAUAUUCACAUGUAUGUAUAUAUUUAUAAUUCACAUAUUAUAUUUAUAGUUUAACAUAUGUUUUUUAAAAUACACGAUUAUGUGUGUGUUGAACGUUGAUAAUUUUACCGUAAGUGUUUAGCCGUGAAGAACGGCGGCAGCCAUCCUAUUGCAAUCCCGUCGCGGUGCUCUUAAUUGAGUGUCGAGGUGGGCCGGUACGUUUACUUUGAACAAAUUAGAGUGCUUAAGGCAGGCUCAAAUUUUGCCUGAAUAUUGUGUGCAUGGAAUAAUGGAAUAGGACCUCGGUUCUAUUUUGUUGGUUUUCGGAACUCCGAGGUAAUGAUUAAUACGGACAGAUGGGGGCAUUCGUAUUGCGACGUUAGAGGUGAAAUUCUUGGAUCGUCGCAAGACGGACAGAAGCGAAAGCAUUUGCCAAAAAUGUUUUGAUUGAUCAAGAACGAAAGUUAGAGGUUCGAAGGCGAUCAGAUACCGCCCUAGUUCUAACCAUAAACGAUGCCAGCUAGCGAUCCGCCGAAGUUCCUCCGAUGACUCGGCGGGCAGCUUCCGGGAAACCAAAGCUUUUGGGUUCCGGGGGAAGUAUGGUUGCAAAGCUGAAACUUAAAGGAAUUGACGGAAGGGCACCACCAGGAGUGGAGCCUGCGGCUUAAUUUGACUCAACACGGGAAACCUCACCAGGCCCGGACACCGGAAGGAUUGACAGAUUGAGAGCUCUUUCUUGAUUCGGUGGGUGGUGGUGCAUGGCCGUUCUUAGUUGGUGGAGCGAUUUGUCUGGUUAAUUCCGAUAACGAACGAGACUCUAGCCUGCUAAAUAGACGUACUUUACCGGCAUCUCAAGGCCCAUCGGCUGUGUGUUUCUCGUUAUGUUGUUUUCAUGUUAUAUACUUUUAUAUUUUCAUUCAUUGCACAUAUCGUUUGCAUUUCUCAGUUCAACAUAUAUAUAUAUUAUAUUUGUGUGUUGUAUGUGGCUUAACUGCUUUUUCUCAUGGCAACAUGGUUGGGCGGUGGUUCAUACGCAUAUUUUAUAUACAUAUAUAUACAUGCGCUGUCUAAUGUGCGGUGUGUUGUUGAUGUUUGUUGUAUAUUUGUAUUACGUGUUAACAUACAUACGAGGCCACAGUUAUUUGAUGUGGUUUUUACUGCCGGCGUACAAUUAUAUCUUCUUAGAGGGACAGGCGGCGUCUAGCCGCACGAGAAUGAGCAAUAACAGGUCUGUGAUGCCCUUAGAUGUUCUGGGCCGCACGCGCGCUACACUGAAGGAAUCAACGUGUCCUCCCUGGCCGAAAGGUCCGGGUAACCCGCUGAACCUCCUUCGUGCUAGGGAUUGGGGCUUGCAAUUGUUCCCCAUGAACGAGGAAUUCCCAGUAAGCGCGAGUCAUAAGCUCGCGUUGAUUACGUCCCUGCCCUUUGUACACACCGCCCGUCGCUACUACCGAUUGAAUGAUUUAGUGAGGUCUUCGGACUGGUACGCGGCAAUGUUUCUGACAUUACCGAUGUUGCCGGGAAGAUGACCAAACUUGAUCAUUUAGAGGAAGUAAAAGUCGU
rnacentral:rRNA from 1 species